rnacentral:ncRNA from 20 species
CGUACAAUCGCCGCCGUUGGUGCCAGCAGCCCCAGGGGCUGCGGUUAAACGGGAAACAUGGGGCGGCCAGAUAAAGCCGCCCGCAUGUACUGCCCCCGCAACAGUGAGUGAAACGCCGCGUGCAUGGCACCGGCCCCCGCCAAACCCGUGCCACUGGGCGUACAGCCCGGGAAGGCCUUGGCGAGUGCGUCACCAGUCUGGAUACCGGCCAACAGGCGGCCGGCCGCG